AAUUCUCAACUUCACCGAUUAGAUUCGAGGUUUGGCUUGGAUUUUGGGGGCUGCCGGCGACCCUCGGGUCUUCGGCUCUCCUUAAAAGCAUUAGCGAUGGCGGCGCGAUCUGACCAUGCAUGAACGGCCUUCGACGUGAUAAUGAUCGUCGUGGCUGGAGUGCUAGCGGGCGUCGUGAAGUCAGCGCUUCUAGAUCGUCGUCGAAAGACGAAACUUUGAA
rnacentral:misc_RNA from 1 species